rnacentral:rRNA from 1 species
UACCAUGCGAGUCGACGGUACAGAGAGUAGCUUGCUACUCUGCUGACGAGUGGAGCACGGGUGAGUAAUAUAUAGAUAAUGUGCCUUUUAGUCUGGGAUAGCCAUUGGAAACGAUGAUUAAUACUGGAUACUCCUUCUAACUCUAAUGUUAGUCGGGAAAGUUUUUCGCUAAAAGAUCGGUCUAUAUCCCAUCAGUUAGUUGGUAAGGUAACGGCUUACCAAGGCAAUGACGGGUAGCGGGUUUGAGAGGAUGAUCCGCCACACUGGUACUGAGACACGGACCAGACUCCUACGGGAGGCAGCAGUGAGGAAUAUUGCACAAUGGGGGAAACCCUGAUGCAGCAACGCCGCGUGGAGGAUGACGCAUUUCGGUGUGUAAACUCCUUUUAUAUGUCAAGAAAAUGACGGUAGCAUAUGAAUAAGCACCGGCUAACUCCGUGCCAGCAGCCGCGGUAAUACGGAGGGUGCAAGCGUUAUUCGGAAUCACUGGGCGUAAAGGACGCGUAGGCGGGUUGGUAAGUCAGAUGUGAAAUCCUACAGCUUAACUGUAGAACUGCAUUUGAAACUACUAACCUAGAGUAUGGGAGGGGGAGAUGGAAUUAGUGGUGUAGGGGUAAAAUCCGUAGAUAUCACUAGGAAUACCGAAAGCGAAGGCGAUCUCCUGGAACAUAACUGACGCUAAGGCGUGAAAGCG